rnacentral:tRNA from 1 species
AGCGGAGUAGAGGAGUCUGGAGUCCUCGCGAGGCCCAUAACCUCGAGAUCGUGCGGUUCAAAUCCCACCUCCGCUA